rnacentral:sRNA from 1 species
UACUGGACCAGCCGAGCUUAUCUUCAUUAUGAGAAGGGAUAUUUUGACCUCGCUAUCGGAGAUGCAUACCGUGCCCAAAUGCUUUGUGAAGUUUUGAUAAAUCCACAAUUACGAAACCGACAGCCAGGGUUGUACAUUCGAAUCUGGGAUGCCCUCGAAAAGCAUAUAUUACAGAUACCCACCACGAAUGUCAACAGACCCGGUGCAGUCGAGUUAUUACGGGGUUCGGACGGGAUCAAUUGUUUCAUUCCAACCAUCUGCACAGCCAUACAUCACAUUAUUAGUCUAAGUUUACUCAGUCUGCAUUGUUGGUCAGAUUACGAAGCUGUAGAAAGACCUUUAGCAGAAAGGCCAGUAGAGGAGGAUCGGGCUACGCCGGAAAUUAGGGAGCGAUGGGCCAGAAUCAAACUUCUCGUGGAAACUAACCAGCAAGAUCAAAGGAGCAAUUCCGAUGAGUACUUUUUCGAAACCAACUAUGGCCAUGUUAUACUACGAGACUAUCCAUAUAGCGCCCAGGAUGUUGACAGGACGAUUGAUGUGUUUAAGAAGAGGAUAACUGAACAUUUCAUUGGC